rnacentral:tRNA from 1 species
GGAGAGGUGCAGGAGUGGCUGAACUGGCUCGCCUGGAAAGCGAGUGUUCCGAUUGCAUCGGAACCGAGGGUUCGAAUCCCUCUCUCUCCG